UCUACGUACGACUUAAUAAGUACUUGUCUUACCAAAAUGGCAGAACACGAGGUGGAAAGUGAAUCUAAUGUUCAAAUUGUGAAUCCUCCUGCAGUUUUCAAAUCUGCUGUGUGGAAAACCUUUGGAUUUUUAAAAGGUGACAAUAAAAAGUCAUUUGGACUGUUUUGCAUAAUUUUUUCUAGUCAUGAGUCAAUUUCAUUUCAUAUUUCUACAAUUGGUGUUAAUAAACCUUUGUAAAGAGUUAAUGAGAACUUCUAUGUUUUUUAUUAGGGUAAGCAACUAAGCAUCACAAUAUUUGACAAUAAAAAAUGAAGAUAUCAGUUUAUCUAAUAUUUUUUGGCAACCAUAUCGUGAUACGUGUUGUAUCGCACUAUUGUAUCGUGAUACGUAUCGUAUCGUGAGCUAGCUGGCGAUACACAGGCCUACAUAGGAAGUUCCUCUGCAAACCACUGCGAAUUAUGCCUAGCGCUCGCAUUUCUUUCUUGCAAUGGUGCAUGCAUGGUCAUUUAUCACAUCACGGAUACCCUCAUUGUAAAGGCCAACCAUGUCUUCGAUUGGAAUAUCGCUCUUUAUUUUUGAUAACUAGGACUUUAUGUCCAGGCAAAAAAACUUGUGUUCAAUUUUGCGAAAGGAAAAAGACUUCUGUCAGUUUUGAGGAUUUUAUACUUUGAGGAUGGAAUGAAUGCCUUUAUGAUCACAAAAUGAAACACCUUUUGAGUCACAUAUGAGUUGAUUAUCAGUGGUUGGAGUGGAAUUCAGGAUUGUGCUGUCAUCUCUGGUAAUAAAUACGUCCAGUAUAUGUCCACACACAUGAGUAGGAUCAGUUAAUAUGCUGUGUUAGCCCAUGCUCUUGGAGAGAGUUCAUGAACGUUUGGGAAUUUCGGCCCUUAACCAUGUUAAAAUGGAAAUUCAUGUCUUUUUGGGGUACCUUCGUUGUGCAAUUUUAUGUUAACUAAGUUCUCAUUUUUGGGGUACCUUUCGGGUAUUUCUUGGAUAGAUUUUGGGUAUAUUUUUCUUACCAUUUUUAGAUGCCCAUCUUUAGACGGGACGUAUUAUGGUACAGCGAUGUCUGUACGUCCGUCCGUCCGUCUGUCUGUCUUACCGUCCAUCCGUUCGGGGUUUUCUCUUUAUAAUUUCAUUUCCCCUUCACAUAUCAUGCUGAAACUUGCUGUGUAGCUUCUUUGUGGGUCACUCUAGAUCAUAAUGCAAUUUUUAUCCAUUUCGACCUUUUUUCCAGGAGUUUUGCCCCUUUAUUUGGAAAUUGAUAUUCUAUGGAGGGUACAUAAUUUGUCCGCCCUACUCCUCCCACAGUUUUCAAGUGAGGACCUUCUUAUUUUGUGGAGUGUUUGUAUGGGUAUUGAAGAUGUGCAUGUGGGAUGGAUUUUGAUUUUCUACAAUUUUUGAGAAAAUUACAGGUUGUUGAACUUAGUCUAUUUGGAAAUUAAUAUUCUAUGGAGGGUACAUAAUUUGUCUACCCAACUCCUCCCACAGUUUUCAAGUGAGGACCAUCUUAUUUUGUGGAGUGUUUGUAUGGGUAUUGAAGAUGUACAUCUGCGUAUGGGGAAGGGUUUUGAUUUUCUUCCAUUUUUGAAAAAAUUACAGGUUGUUGAACUUGGUCCAUUUUGAGUAAAUCUCGAUUUUUAAGCUAAGACCCUUUGUUCAUAUGAAAGUUUGUCACAGCCUCAUGAUAAUAAUAAUAAUAAUAAUAAUAGCAUUUAUUUAUCCAGGAUAACACAAAUUAGCAUAUAGCUAGUUUCCAUUGUGGUCCUGCAUUAAAACAUAUACACAAACAAAAAUUAACAUCUAAAAUUAGUAUCUAAACAUGAAUACGAUAUAAAAGAAAAAGGGGGAAAAAAUAUAGCAUAAGACACACCUAAUUAGUGAUAAAAUUAUUACCUAAAUAUGAA